rnacentral:rRNA from 1 species
GACGAACGCUGGCGGCGUGCUUAACACAUGCAAGUCGAACGAAGUGGCGAACGGGUGAGUAACGCGUAAUCAACCUGCCCUUCAGAGGGGGACAACAGUUGGAAACGACUGCUAAUACCGCAUACUGAAGGAGGGGAUUGCGUCGGAUUAGCUAGUUGGAGGGGUAACGGCCCACCAAGGCGAUGAUCAGUAGCCGGUCUUGGAGGAAGAACCGGCACAAUGGGACUGGGAAACGGCCCAGACUCCUACGGGAAGCAGCAGUGGGGAAACUUCCGCAAUGGACGAAAAUCCGACGGAGCAACGCCGCGGGAGUGAUAGCGGCCUUCGGGUUGUAAAGCUCUGUUAAUCGGGACGCGGUACCGGAAUAGGAAGCCACGGCUAACUACGUGCCAGCAGCCGCGGUAAUAC